rnacentral:rRNA from 1 species
UACGUAGGGGGCAAGCGUUGUCCGGAAUCAUUGGGCGUAAAGCGCGUGUAGGCGGCUCGGUAAGUCCGCUCUGAAAGUCCAGGGCUCAACCCUGGGAUGCCGGUGGAUACUGUCGGGCUCGAGUCCGGAAGAGGCGAGUGGAAUUCCUGGUGUAGCGGUGAAAUGCGCAGAUAUCAGGAGGAACACCAAUGGCGAAGGCAGCUCGCUGGGACGUUACUGACGCUGAGACGCGAAAGCGUGGGGAGCAAACAGG